rnacentral:lncRNA from 1 species
GUACAACAACGGAUGAAAAUAUAUGUUUUAAAUAAUUUUACUAUUUCAAAUUAUUUAAAUGUUUUAUUUUCUUAUAUAUUAUUUUUAUUAAAAGCAAAAAAGGAAGGUACAUUGGACUUGGUGGAGGAUCAUAUGCUGAGUCGAGCAUUGCUUCUACCAGAUUUGCAGUUGAAAUGAAUGCAAGAUUUCUUGUGAAAGAAAAAGAAAAAGAAAAAAUUGAUGAUCAAAUGGAGAAGAUACUAGAGGUAUGUGUAUGAUAAUACAUGAAAUUUUAAACUAAUACAUAAAUAUUAAUGAAUCUUAAAUGUUUUAUAGGAUAAUCGAUAUUUAAAAAAAAAAAAUGAGGAAAUUUUUGAUAUGUAUCAAGACAUGAUGAAAACAUUUCUAUCACAAUCAAAUACAACUGCACAACCUUCAGAUCAUGGAUCGUUGCAAGAUAAAAGUGCAGGUCAGAGCGAUCAAAGAUAUCAAACUCCUCCAUCCAAAUAGUUCUUCCAUGUUAGUUUUGUUGAAUGUUAGUUUUCUUGAAUGUCAAAUUUGUUGAAUGUUAUAUUUGUUGAAUGUUUUUGUAUUGAAUAUUUGUUGAAUAUUGAAUAAAUUUACAUGAAUUAAUAUUGAAUGAAUUUACGGGAAUUUACAAUGAAUUUACAUGAAUUCCAGAAGCACAGGAAUUCUGGAUUUUUUUUUACUAAAAAA